UACGUAGGGACCAAGCGUUGUUCGGAUUUACUGGGCGUAAAGGGCGCGUAGGCGGCGCGGUAAGUCACUUGUGAAAUCUCUGAGCUUAACUCAGAACGGCCAAGUGAUACUGCAGUGCUAGAGUGCAGAAGGGGCAAUCGGAAUUCUUGGUGUAGCGGUGAAAUGCGUAGAUAUCUGGAGGAACACCGAUGGCGAAGGCAGCCUUCUGGGCCAACACUGACGCUCAUGCACGAAAGCGUGGGGAGCAAACAGG
rnacentral:rRNA from 1 species